rnacentral:rRNA from 1 species
CCUACGGGUGGCAGCAGUGGGGAAUAUUGCGCAAUGGGCGAAAGCCUGACGCAGCGACGCCGCGUGAGGGAUGAAGGUCUUCGGAUCGUAAACCUCUGUCAGCGGGGAAGAACGGUCACUGUGCUAAUCAGCAGUGAAUUGACGGUACCUGCAAGGGAAGCACCGGCUAACUCCGUGCCAGCAGCCGCGGUAAUACGGAGGAUGCGAGCGUUAUCCGGAUUUAUUGGGUUUAAAGGGUGCGUAGGCGGACGCUUAAGUCAGCGGUAAAAUUGCGGGGCUCAACCUCGUCGAGCCGUUGAAACUGGGUGCCUUGAGUGGGCGAGAAGUACGCGGAAUGCGUGGUGUAGCGGUGAAAUGCAUAGAUAUUAGGAGGAACACCAGUGGCGAAGGCGGUCUGCUGGACAGCAACUGACGCUGAGGCGCGAAAGCGUGGGGAGCAAACAGGAUUAGAUACCCGAGUAGUC